CCUACCCACGCCAAAAUAUUAUCCUCGUCUGGCAACCUAAUUAACAAAAUGCAUUUGGCUUGGACGGACGGUCGGCCAUUAUAAUAAAAUAAAAAAAUUAAAAUGAUAAAACAACUGCUGAUGUAUGAAGUAGCUAGUUAUUGGACAUAUUGUCUCUUUGGUGCCCCAUUGAAAGUAAAAAAAAUCUUUCCCCGGCCAUAGAUGCAGAGGCCCUAGAUACAGAUUUUAAUGCCUUGAGAUAGAUGGUGUGGAGUUCAAGCGGUAAGUGGAACUUUCUUAAGUUAUCCGAUUUUAUUAUUAUUAUUGUUAAAAUAUUAUUUAGCUAAGUAAGAUUUAGAACAUUUUUGAAAAAGUAUUUUAAAUCAUUUACAAACUAUUUUAAUUGUCUAUCUGUUUCAUUGGUGGACAUCUAUCAGUAAUAUCUGAGUCGAUUAUAAUGGGCCAACUUAGUUUUUCUAUUGACUAGCUAGUUGUUUAACUCGGCAUAUUUGCUUAAACUUGCUGUAAGACCGGACUCAGAACAUGUCAUUGUCCAAAGUGUCUAACGACUCCCAGCUCUUAAUGGCAUAGUUCCCCAGGGUGUUAAAGGAGUUGCACUAUUGGGCCAAUGAAGGUUACAACAUGUAACUAGUUUA